CACUGUAAAAAAGCCAACUUAUGAAAAGUUAUCUAAAUAAAGUUUUAAAAGUAAACUGAACUAAGAUAUUUUUGUUUGACAUAUUCAGAAAUAAUACUUAGUUUAUUCAACAAAUAUGUUGCUUCAAUGUUAAAAAACUGUAUAAUACUAAAAAUGUUUUGUUGAACUUACAUUAAAAUGUUAGUUUUGCGUUAAAGCGUGCGUUUGCGUCUUGUUGGCGCAAGCGCAUGGUAAUUUGAAACUUCGACUGCGGGGAUUACUGAAAGGGCAGCAUCGUGCCAAUUCACUCGUUUCUGCCGAGUUACAGUGUAGUGUUGAUUUGAAACAGCGUGCCGGUUCAAAGCAGUCCAGCAUUUCUGCCAAAUCAUAGAUCUGCAUGGAGUUCUUCCAGAUCUGUAACAUAGAUCUCCUGAAAAAGUUCAGUGAAUCACUUGAUAAAUAUACAGCACCUCUCCUGAAACUGUACAGAAAAAGAAGAGAUUCAUUGGGUCCAGAAAUGAAGACACUUUUGGACAAGCUGGAUGAGCAGGCCAGUGAUAUUAUCACUCACCGAAAAAGAGCAGCUCUUGAGGGACUGCCACUCAUUCUGCGUGAAAAUUCGGCUUUCUUGCUCAAGAUGUGUCUGGACGUUGACCCUGAAGCCCACAGCACCAGAGGUGUAAAGAUCGGAAUCCUAACUGUGGUUGAGGAUGAUGUUGGCACUCCUGCUUCACUGGCCACUGUGAUCAACCAUGCAAUAAUCCUGGAAGAGGCCAUUGUUCUUCAGGAUAUUCCAGAUCUGCCUGAAGCCUUUGCUUACUUGUUCGGUCUCUUGUAUGCACUCAAUAAGGAAUACCCAAAAGAACUGAAAUAUACUUUUGAAGUCAUUCAGAAAAUCUUUAUGGAUCUUGGUGAUACCUGCUCUGCGAGAGUCCAGUCACUAAAAUCAAAAUUGUUGUAGCUGACCAUUUUGCGGAUGUUAUUGGAGCUAUGGCAAAUGGGACAAUGAUUUUUGCAAUCAAAAUUUAGUAGUACAUACUGAUUUAUUACAAUGUAUAAUUUGGUUCAAUCUUUGCACCUUUAACGAAUACUGAAUCUUUUAGUUUUGUUUUUUGUUUUUAUCUGGCAGUAGCGGUACAAGCUAUUUUUUUUUUUCUGAUACACUUACAUGCAGUAAAAUAGUUCAUGUUAUAUAUGAAUCAUACUUUACUAAGGUUUGGGUUUAUUCAGAUGUGAUGUUAAUGUAUUCUCAAUGUUGAUCUGCCGAAAUAAUACAAAAUUCUUUAUGCAGUGUUUGAAUCUAGUAUAUUUUGACGUAUACUUGUUUUGGAUUUUAUGUACUUUGCUGUUCUGCCGAAUAAGAAUGCUUUAUACACUGUGGUUCGAGGUUUUGCUCGGAUGCUUUUACUUUGGUUUCGGGUUUUUGGGCAAAAUAUUACUUUUUUUGGAGCUCAUCUUUCAAUUUAUGUUGAAAAAAGUGGUAGUUUUUAUAAUUUACAAAUUUCCAAUGAUUAACAUUUCUGUACUAUUUUUCUAUAAACAUGCCUAAUGCAGAAGACGUGUAUGGCAUAUGGUAGACUGUAUUGUAAUGUGUUCGGACAAACUAUUAAAAAAAAAG